GUGAAAUUCAAUUUAUCUGUCAUUAAUAUUUUAUCUUUUUACACUGUUUUGCUGCAUGAAAGGUUUACAUUUUUAUGUGUUAAGUUUAUCUGCAUAUUUAUUUAUGGCUUUGGAUUUUAUCAUGUGCUGUGGUAUGGCUCUUUAUUGUCCCCCCAAAAAAGCUCAUGUUUUGAAAGCAUGGUCACCAGUAUAUCCAAGGAUUUUAAGCUAUGAUUAGGGCUCUGAUCUUGUUAGUGGAUUAAUCUAUAUGUUGGAUUAAUCAGUUGAUAGUUCAACCGACUACUGAAGGAUGGGUCAUUGUUCACUGGGGCAUGCCCUGAAAGGGUUUAUCUAGUCUCUUGCCUUUUCCCCUCACCCUCUCCUCUCCUUUCCCCUCCCCUCCCUUCUUCCCCCCCCUCCUAUUCUUCCUCCUCUUCUCCUUCCUUCCUUCCUUCCUUCCUCUCCCCCACAUUCUCCCUCUCUCUCGCUCUCUCUCUCCCUCUCUUUCCCUCUCUUCCUUUUUCCCUCCCUCCCUCUUCCUGGCUGUCAUAAACUCAGCAGCUUUGUUCAACUAUGCCUUUCUGCCAUGAUGCUCUGUCCCACCCACCUCAGGUGUAAAGCAGUGGAGUCAACUGACCAUGGACUGAGACCUCUGAAACUGUGAGCACAAAAUAAGCUUUUCCUACUCUAGGUUGUUCUUAUCAGGUAUUUUGGACAGUGAUGAACAGUUAUGGUUAGAAUAUAUUUUUCUAUACCAAGAUUAUAAAAAUCACCAUUCCCUAUUUUAUCCAUGUAAUCCUGACUCCAUAUAGAAUUGUUUUGCAGCACUGGGGAUCAAGCCCAGGACCUCAUUCAUACUUUGCAAGUACCAUACACCCCCAGCCCCAUAUGAUACAAAAGGCCAUAUUUAUCAUGUAUCAUGUAUUAAAGUCCCACAUAUACACUAUUUUAAGAUGUAGCAAAUACCAUGUGGCAAACAAAAUGUCUUAGAAUUCUUCAAGCCUAAGAAAGUAUAACUACAGUAAGAAUGGUUUUCAGUAUCAACCCAGAUAUGCAGGGAUAGAAAAAAGAUGUCUGGGUGCUUAGCUGUUGAAUAGAGGCUGGGGGAGGGUCAAAUACAGUUGAUGAUAUAAUAAAGAGUGGUAGGAUUCUGUCUGGAACUCCAUAGGCCUAAAGGAAAGACUCUGGCAACCUUCUUAAGACUGCUGUACUCUUGAGUGCUGAGGUCCAAUUCUAUGGCUUCUCUGGAUACCUUGGUGUUCAGUUAACUUUCAGGUAAGUGGCUCCCCACCAGGCAUGAUUAAGGUAUAUCAGCAAGUAAAUGAAUGUAUCACUUAUGAAUGUCUUUAGUAAUAGAAAGCCCAAAAUAUAAUGGAUCAAAUAGGGGUUUAUUAUUAUUAUAGUAAAAAUGAGGGUGAGUCCAAAUGAUCAAGAGAAGAGACUAUGAAGUCAGACAAGUAACUAGGAUCAUAAUCUGACCUACAAUUUAAUGAGAUCUGUUUGGCUUCUCAGAUGAUGGUGGGUACCAGUGGAAGUAGUGUUAAGUGGAAGGAUUCUGGAUAUAUUUUAUAGAUAAAUCUGACAGGAUUUUUUUCUGGUAAGUAAGGUGAGGAAGUGAAAGAGUCAAAGAUGAUGCACAAGCACUGGCUUGAACAGCUGAAAAGUUUCCCAUUGAUUAAGUUUUGGAAGGUUCAUAGGGGAGCAGUAUAGACAUCUGACCUGACACAGUGUAGUAAGGUUUGUUUUGCUUUGAUGUUAGAGUGGGAAUACAUUUUACUUUGGACUACUGAGCAUGUUCAGGAUUCAUCCACAUAAGUCAAUGAAUUAUCUGUGUGUGAAAGGUGGGAAGCUUUUUUUCAGUAAGAACUAACCCCUCCCCCCCCCAAAAAAAAAAAGAAGAAGAAGAACUAAACCCUUGCUUUCUAACUUUUCAGACAAAGCUGCUGUGUAAAGAACUAAGGACAAAGAAAUUUCCCUUUGGCAGAGUAAGAGUCCAUGGAGCCCCAGAAGCUGCUGAGCAUUGUAUUUCUGUUGUGUUCACUGACUUGCUCCUUGUUGGUGACAGUAGCUUCCCCUCCUUCGCCAUUAUAUGAUUUUGGAAUUCAAGAAAACGCAGGACUGAAACCACGCUCAAGGGGUGUGUUUGCUGUUAGGAUGAAUGUUCCUAUCUUCAUAAGACAUAGGAUUCAUGUUGCAGGUCAGGAAAAACUGAUUUCAUGUGAAAUAAUGUUCACAAGAAAGCUAACUAUACUGGUUUGGUUAAGUUUAGUUCAACAAGCAUUAACUUAACUAGUUUCUACCAAGCCCUUUGUAGGGUAGACAAAACCAUAGAUGCUAACCUUCCAUGGAAUUUAACAAAUGCUCCCAAAGAACAUGGGGAUAAUCAAAGUUGUUUGGGCAGGCGAAAAAUAGGGAAGAUUUGAAAAGGAGGUUAAACUUGAAAUAAGGAAACAUGAUGGUCCACUGAUCUUUCUAGAGGCUCCCAAAGCCAUGCUUUCAACAUGCAUGCUGCAGCUCCAGUUCUGGAAAGGGUUGUGGUGACUGGUGGACUUUUUCAAUUAAGUGUGAAGCCACUUUUGUUUUCCCCUGCCUCUUUCCUUAGAGUCAAAUCACAAUAUACUCACUCUUCUGUCCCCAUUUUCUAAAGGAAAUACCCAACAUCUCAAGCUUUACUUUGAUCAGCAGAUACCCCCAAAGUUUCUCUUUCCAGUUGCCCUAGCCUUUUCCUCCUCUGCUCCCAGGGCUGGUGGGUUUUUCUUUUCUCUUCAUGGGAUAUUAAUUCCCCCAAGCCUCCUGAAGUACUCUAGAACUUCCAGAUAUACUCUAGGAAACAAUGUGUUAGUGAAGAUUAUCAUUUUCUUGUGUUCAGUUUAUGCUCCUCUUUCACAAAGUACCCCAUAAAUUCAACCCUUCAGAUAUGUAGGACAGAGAUUGAUAUCUAGAGCAGAUAUCUAUUGGCAGAGAUAUCUAGGGCAGUUGAUUGUUCAUAUUUGAUCUAUAAGGAUGCAAACAUGAUAUCCACCUGAGGAUACCUCUUUAAAAUAAUGUAUACUCUUUGAACAUCUUAGAGGCAGCACAGCAAAAUAUGUAAGACAUUCUGAGUAACUGUAGGAACAUAUCUUGGAUAACUGUUUGGGCUCAAACUGAGAUUCAAAUCCCAACCCCAUCAUUUACUUGACCUUUCUGCAGUGAAUGUCUAUGCUCUUUCUACAGGAGACCAGAGGUCUUGGCUGAGCGACUUCUGGGAUUACCUGUGGGACCUCAUCAUGAGCUCCAUACCUCCAGCAGCCAUUUUUGCUUUUCUUAUCACCAUAUCACUAAUGGGGACCCUCUGUUGCCUAACGUAAGAUACUGUAGGAAUGAGAAGAGGGGAAAACUUUAGGGGUGGGGUACAGAAACACUUAGGUUCCCUAAGAGUUGCACAUUUGUAAUUAAGGGACAGUUUUAAGGAAAAAGAUUUGGGGAUCAAAACUUAAUUUAACUCCUAAUUUUCUUUCCUUGGCUAAGGAACCAUGUAUAAUUGUGUUCUCAGUUGCCUGAAAAUUUAACAAAAUAUUUAUGUAUAUAAAUCAUAUUAAGCCAAGGAGAUUCCCAAGGAAAGAGAUAUAGUUAAACUAAAUUUGUUAAGUGAACCAGUAUUUACCAAGAAAUUACCACUUGUCCAUUUCUGUCUGACUUGGUUGCUAGAAAGAGAAAUAAGACAUAUAAUUUCUUUGAUGAAAGGAACCAAAUUAACCCAACAGAAAAAUAUUUUAAAAUUCUAAAUGUUGCAGAAAUAAAAGAAGACUCUCAAUAAUACUCCUUGAUUUUUACUGUAUUUCACAGUAAGGAUUGCAAAUAUCCUCUAUGCUCAUCUCUACACUAGCUUAUUACCUGAGGCAAUCAGCAUGGAAGCCUGGAUAAUCUCCCAGUACUGUAGAGGCAGAGGACUGACUGGCACUAAGAAUACAAAAAUAUACAUACAAGGAAAUUUUAGUACUGUUUAUAAUAUUGAAAAAAGUGGAGACAACUUAAAUGUCUGUUAUUCUAGGGAUGGAUAAAAAAACCAUUGUGCAUUUAUACUGUGAGUACUAUAUAGUCAUAAAAUGUUGAUGUAGAGAAUAAUUAUGUGGACACAUUUAUGGAAUGAUAUUGAAUGGAAAACAGAUUAUAAUAGAGGAUAUGCAGUUUAAUCCAAUUUGUAAUUUAAAACUAAACGUGCAGGACUUGAUCAAAAUAUUAGACAUUUUAUCUCCAUGUGAUAGUGAAUAGAUUGUUUCAAUUAUUGUUAUUUUCAUUUUUAUCAUUUUAUCUGAACUUGCAAUCUUUCUGUAACUAUAUUGUUUGAUCAGUACAUUUUUUAAAUUAUACUUUUAAAUGAAAGAAGAAAAACUAUGUGACCAUACUUCUCUAUCACUACGUCCAAUCCCACUGUAUUAGAAACACACUCUUACUGUUUUCUCAAGUCAUCAAAGCACUUAAUCUGUAUAUGAGAUAAUUAAAAAAAAAUUUAGUCACCAGUGCACCUUUCUUUAUUUAUUUCUAUGUGGUGCUGAGGAUGGAACCCAGUGCCUCACACAUGCCAGUCAAGAACUCUACUACUGAGCUAUAACACCAGCCCCUGUAUUAAAUAAUUUGAUUCAUAUUAAAAGAAGCAACUGUCUAAAAAUUCAGUCUUGGAAAAAUUACAUGGUAAUUCCAUGCAGACCAAGAGAGUGUAUAGGACUGUACACUUACUUCAGCAUUUACCAUUUUAUCUUUUGUCAGUAUUCUUAUAGGUGAACCAGUCCACUGAAGAACUAGAAGACUGAUUAGGGCAAUUGUGGUGUUUGGUUUUCCAGAUUUCAAGACAAUGGAAAAUGUAUUGUUUGCUUAAAAUGAUGUUAAAUUAUUAAAUUAUAUUCUG
rnacentral:lncRNA from 1 species